AACGCACAUUGCGCCCUUUGGUAUUCCGAAGGGCAUGCCUGUUCGAGCGUCAUUAUGACCACUCAAGCCUCGGCUUGGUAUUGGGGUUCGCGGUCUUCGCGGCCCUUAAAAUCAGUGGCGGUGCCAUCUGGCUCUCAGCGUAGUUGUUUAUCUCGCUAUUGGGUCCGGUGGUUGCUUGCCAACAACCCCUAAUUUCUCACGGUUGACCUCGGAUCAGGUAGGGAUACCCGCUGAACUUAA
rnacentral:misc_RNA from 1 species